rnacentral:lncRNA from 1 species
UUUAAUCAGGGUUAGGAGCACAUCCAUUCCGUCCACAGGGAAGUAGUUUAAGCAGUGACCGUGUACAGUGCUCCAAUGCAAGUGCCAACCACCAACAGUCUGAUGCGCAUGCUUUGCACGAGAUGCAUGAAAGUUAUCACCCAGAAUGGAUAUACAUACUGGAACAGUUACUGAUGAUCACUUCGUCUACUCGCCGAUCAUCACCUGAUUAAUAACUCGCCUCAUGCAGGAACGAGCAGCUG